UACAUACUCCCUCCGUUCGGAAUUACUCGUCCAAGAAAUGAAUUUAUCUAGAUGUAUUUUAGUUGUAGAUACAUCCAUUUUUGUGACAAGUAAUUCCGAAUGGAGGGAGUACUAC
rnacentral:pre_miRNA from 1 species